rnacentral:lncRNA from 1 species
AUUUUAUUCUAUGCUAACUUCAACAUGGACACAGAACUUGGUUUCAUAUAAAAGCUUUUAUUACUUCCCUUUGAGACAUGAAAUGAAGGAAAGUUUCGGGAAGAAUUCUUCAUCCCAUCCUCAAGGGCCAGUGGGAAUUUUCAUGCUGGUUGGAAGUAAGAUUGCAGUUGCAUGGAAUUCUUGCCACUUCUCCAAGGAAUACCUGGUUUUGUCACUUUUACCAGCUCCCUUAUCUGAGAAGAAACAUUGAUGGCCUCUCAAGGUAAUACCUAGUUUUUUAUAAA